GGUUUUAGGCGGCGAAGCCGCUCGGCAGCACCUUCCUUCUUUGCCAGGCAGACGCCCGUUGUAGCCGUUGGGGAACCGUUGAGAAUCCGAAAGCCCGCUUAUCUACCAUUUUAUUUACUGACAACUGUGAAGUAACCCAUGACCAGCUGUGUGAAUUGCUGAAGUAUGCAGUUCUGGGCAAAUCCAAUGUUCCAAAACCCAGGGAAUGAGUCAGCUACACUUUUACAGGUUCUAUUUGGAGUUUGGAUGUCUUCGAAAAGCAUUCAGACAUAAAUUCCGCUUGCCUCCACCAUCAUCUGAUUUUCUAGCUGAUGUUGUUGGGCUACAAACUGAACAAAGAGCUGGAGAUCUGCCCAAGACAAUGGAAGGGCCUUUACCUUCUAAUGCAAAAGCCGCCAUCAACCUUCAGGAUGAUCCCAUCAUUCAAAAGUAUGGCUCUAAGAAAGUGGGCUUGACCAGAUGCCUUCUGACAAAGGAGGAAAUGAGAACGUUUCACUUUCCAUUACAAGUGCCUCACAUCCAAGGGGAGAGAGCUAACACGCAUCUCACUGGUUGCUGAAGGAGGCUGCUGUGU
rnacentral:lncRNA from 1 species